GAUGAACGCUGGCGGCGUGCCUAAUACAUGCAAGUCGAGCGAACAGAUGAGGAGCUUGCUCCUCUGACGUUGGCGGCGGACGGGUGAGUAACACGUGGAUAACCUACCUAUAAGACUGGGAUAACUUCGGGAAACCGGAGCUAAUACCGGAUAAUAUAUUGAACCGCAUGGUUCAAUAGUGAAAGACGGUUUUGCUGUCACUUAUAGAUGGAUCCGCGCCGCAUUAGCUAGUUGGUAAGGUAACGGCUUACCAAGGCAACGAUGCGUAGCCGACCUGAGAGGGUGGUCGGGCACACCUGAACCUGGAACCGGGCCAGAAUCCUAAGGGAGGGCGGAGUAGGGAAUCCUCCGCAAUUGGCGGAAGCCUUACGGAGCAACGCCGCGUGAGUGAAGAAGGGCUUCGGAUCGUAAAACUCUUUUAAUAGGGAAGAACAAAUGUGUAAGGAAAUAUGCACGUCUUGACGGUACCUAAUCAGAAAGCCACGGCUAACUACGUG
rnacentral:rRNA from 1 species